UUAGACAUAUAAUGCUAAGCUGAUUUUUUUUAUAGCACACUGAUCGAUAUCUCUGUAAAAUAAUCAUUUUUUUAACUAGCGGGGCAGUGAAAUCUUUGCUUUGUGCUAAAGUCAACAGUGACAGAGUUUGAGCUCAAAUAAAUGCCGUGAUGUCUGGAGCCCUUUGCAGAAGGCAGAAGGCGAGCUUCUACAAUGGGCUCCUGUGUGGCUUGCCAACAACAAGCACGGGCUAUUUUGCACAGGGCUCUGCUGACUGAAGUGAUCCCCACGGCCCGAGUGGAAGAGAGGAGGGAGAGGAAGCCUCAGAGGGACGAGGGAUAGCUGCAGAAGAGCUUCACUGAUGCACACACACACACACACACACACACUCACUCACUCAAACACUUACACAAUGUCCCUCUCAGUCCUGGGUUGUGACCGGCCCAUGGCAUUGGCCAGAUGCACAUGGCUUUCAUUUGAAGGACAGAUUUCCAUGGCUGCUUCCGUCUACUUUCAUCACCCUGCAUCAAGCGACCUGAAAGCACUUCCUUGUCGAUGUACUUGGCUAUAUCUACGUCUGACCUGUCUGCCAUAUGUAAUAUCAAAGCCUCUGUCAGCGUGGAGCUGAAUGGGAACAAAAGAGAGGCCUCCAUUAAUGAUUAACUGUUCUAAAAGCCCCGGCUUUUGUAUUCCCAUGGUGCCCAGGCUAUCUGGCCACCAUGUGACAUGCUCACAGCAUUUUUCGAGCAGAUUGGGGGAAAGCUAGUGAGCAAACACAGGUGCUUUGGAGCAGCGUUGCCGACGCUGUCAGGGACAACCACAAACAAGAGCAGCUAUGCCUGGCUAAAUGAAUCCCCACCCCUCCCGACACCAUCACCACCUCCACCACCCCCUCUCUGUCGCUAGCUAACUUCUUUGCUAGCUCCCUAUAGCUUUCUCCCCGCAAAGCCUUCCUUCUGGAGAGUCGUCCCCCCCCCCAACAAGUCCAAUGUCUGCUACGGCCGCGCUCUACAACUUCUCACACCCUCCAAAGAAACAAACAAAUAAAAGUGAGGACAGCCGACCACUUCUUUGAGGUGAUGGCAUUUGCUGUGGUCAUGACUAGUGGGAGAGCAAACAAAUUAAUGAUGUUCGAGUUUUCACUUUCCAAACCAAACUAAAUGUCUUUUAGCUCAAGUGGGGCAAUUCCACUGACCCUGGUGUCAAACACUGUAUAAGGGUUGCACACUCUUGCACUUGAAAUGCUGAGAGGAGGCCGUAAGAAAUUAAAUAGGACUUGAGUUUUGGUCUUCAUGAACCUGGUGUGUUGAAACACCACAAAGCAACACGUGACAAAUAAAUCUUGAAUAAAUUGUGUGUGUAAUAAACAUG